GUUUUUACAGUAGUGGAUGAUACCUCAGAAUCUGAUUCUGAAAUUGUCAUCGCAUCAGAGAGCACAGUUGAAUUCAAUCAAGCUGACACUCUGAUAUCUGAACCACACAACCAAAGUACUCCCAAACACAAACCUGAAGAUGAAAGAGAUGCACCAGGACAUUCAGCAGCAAUUCAGCC